AGUCGAGCGAGCGGAACUACAGAUUUACUUCGGUAAUGACGUUAGGAAAGCGAGCGGCGGAUGGGUGAGUAACACGUGGGGAACCUGCCCCAUAGUCUGGGAUACCACUUGGAAACAGGUGCUAAUACCGGAUAAGAAAGCAGAUCGCAUGAUCAGCUUUUAAAAGGCGGCGUAAGCUGUCGCUAUGGGAUGGCCCCGCGGUGCAUUAGCUAGUUGGUAAGGUAAAGGCUUACCAAGGCGAUGAUGCAUAGCCGAGUUGAGAGACUGAUCGGCCACAUUGGGACUGAGACACGGCCCAAACUCCUACGGGAGGCAGCAGUAGGGAAUCUUCCACAAUGGACGCAAGUCUGAUGGAGCAACGCCGCGUGAGUGAAGAAGGUUUUCGGAUCGUAAAGCUCUGUUGUUGGUGAAGAAGGAUAGAGGUAGUAACUGGCCUUUAUUUGACGGUAAUCAACCAGAAAGUCACGGCUAACUACGUGCCAGCAGCCGCGGUAAUACGUAGGUGGCAAGCGUUGUCCGGAUUUAUUGGGCGUAAAGCGAGCGCAGGCGGAAGAAUAAGUCUGAUGUGAAAGCCCUCGGCUUAACCGAGGAACUGCAUCGGAAACUGUUUUUCUUGAGUGCAGAAGAGGAGAGUGGAACUUCAUGUGUAGCGGUGGAAUGCG
rnacentral:rRNA from 1 species